ACUCAAAGGAAUUGACGGGGGCCCGCACAAGCGGUGGAGCAUGUUGCUCAAUCCGACGCAACGCGAAGAACCUUACCAGGCCUUGACAUCGAGGGACAAUCCGUGAAAACGGACUUCCGAAAGGACCCAAAGACAGGUGGUGCAUGGCUGUCGUCAGCUCGUGUCGUGAGAUGUUGGGUUAAGUCCCGCAACGAGCGCAACCCUCACCGACUGUUGCCAGCGGGUAAAGCCGGGAACUCUGUCGGAACUGCCGGAGCAAUCCGGAGGAAGGUGGGGAUGACGUCAAGUCGGCAUGCCCCUUACGGCCUGGGCUGCAAACAUGCUACAAUGGGCGGUACAAAGGGUUGCCAAACCGCGAGGUGGAGCUAAUCCCAUAAAGCCGCUCCCAGUUCGGAUUGGAGUCUGCAACUCGACUCCAUGAAGUUGGAAUCGCUAGUAACGGCGGAUCAGCUACGCCGCCGUGAAUACGUUCCCGGGCCUUGUACACACCGCCCGU
rnacentral:rRNA from 1 species